AUUGAACGCUGGCGGCAGGCUUAACACAUGCAAGUCGAGCGGGGGAAGGUAGCUUGCUACCGGACCUAGCGGCGGACGGGUGAGUAAUGCUUAGGAAUCUGCCUAUUAGUGGGGGACAACAUCUCGAAAGGGAUGCUAAUACCGCAUACGUCCUACGGGAGAAAGCAGGGGAUCUUCGGACCUUGCGCUAAUAGAUGAGCCUAAGUCGGAUUAGCUAGUUGGUGGGGUAAAGGCCUACCAAGGCGACGAUCUGUAGCGGGUCUGAGAGGAUGAUCCGCCACACUAGGACUGAGACACGGCCCAGACUCCUACGGGAGGCAGCAGUGGGGAAUAUUGGACAAUGGGGGGAACCCUGAUCCAGCCAUGCCGCGUGUGUGAAGAAGGCCUUUUGGUUGUAAAGCACUUUAAGCGAGGAGGAGGCUACUCUAGUUAAUACCUAGGGAUAGUGGACGUUACUCGCAGAAUAAGCACCGGCUAACUCUGUGCCAGCCGCCGCGGUAA
rnacentral:rRNA from 1 species